GGGCAUGCGGGUGCUAUAAUGCAGUCGAACGAACUCUGGUAUUGAUUGGUGCUUGCAUCAUGAUUUACAUUUGAGUGAGUGGCGAACUGGUGAGUAACACGUGGGAAACCUGCCCAGAAGCGGGGGAUAACACCUGGAAACAGAUGCUAAUACCGCAUAACAACUUGGACCGCAUGGUCCGAGCUUGAAAGAUGGCUUCGGCUAUCACUUUUGGAUGGUCCCGCGGCGUAUUAGCUAGAUGGUGGGGUAACGGCUCACCAUGGCAAUGAUACGUAGCCGACCUGAGAGGGUAAUCGGCCACAUUGGGACUGAGACACGGCCCAAACUCCUACGGGAGGCAGCAGUAGGGAAUCUUCCACAAUGGACGAAAGUCUGAUGGAGCAACGCCGCGUGAGUGAAGAAGGGUUUCGGCUCGUAAAACUCUGUUGUUAAAGAAGAACAUAUCUGAGAGUAACUGUUCAGGUAUUGACGGUAUUUAACCAGAAAGCCACGGCUAACUACGUGCCAGCAGCCGCGGUAAUACGUAGGUGGCAAGCGUUGUCCGGAUUUAUUGGGCGUAAAGCGAGCGCAGGCGGUUUUUUAAGUCUGAUGUGAAAGCCUUCGGCUCAACCGAAGAAGUGCAUCGGAAACUGGGAAACUUGAGUGCAGAAGAGGACAGUGGAACUCCAUGUGUAGCGGUGAAAUGCGUAGAUAUAUGGAAGAACACCAGUGGCGAAGGCGGCUGUCUGGUCUGUAACUGACGCUGAGGCUCGAAAGUAUGGGUAGCAAACAGGAUUAGAUACCCUGGUAGUCCAUACCGUAAACGAUGAAUGCUAAGUGUUGGAGGGUUUCCGCCCUUCAGUGCUGCAGCUAACGCAUUAAGCAUUCCGCCUGGGGAGUACGGCCGCAAGGCUGAAACUCAAAGGAAUUGACGGGGGCCCGCACAAGCGGUGGAGCAUGUGGUUUAAUUCGAAGCUACGCGAAGACUUUACCAGGUCUUGACAUACUAUGCAAUCUAGAGAUUAGACGUUCCCUUCGGGGACAUGGAUACAGGUGGUGCAUGGUUGUCGUCAGCCCGUGUCGUGAG
rnacentral:rRNA from 1 species